rnacentral:rRNA from 1 species
AUUGAACGCUGGCGGCAGGCCUAACACAUGCAAGUCGGACGGUAGCACAGAGGAGCUUGCUCCUCGGGUGACGAGUGGCGGACGGGUGAGUAAUGUCUGGGGAUCUGCCCGAUAGAGGGGGAUAACCACUGGAAACAGUGGCUAAUACCGCAUAACGUCGCAAGACCAAAGAGGGGGACCUUCGGGCCUCUCACUAUCGGAUGAACCCAGAUGGGAUUAGCUAGUAGGCGGGGUAAUGGCCCACCUAGGCGACGAUCCCUAGCUGGUCUGAGAGGAUGACCAGCCACACUGGAACUGAGACACGGUCCAGACUCCUACGGGAGGCAGCAGUGGGGAAUAUUGCACAAUGGGCGCAAGCCUGAUGCAGCCAUGCCGCGUGUAUGAAGAAGGCCUUCGGGUUGUAAAGUACUUUCAGCGGGGAGGAAGGCGGUGAGGUUAAUAACCUUGCCGAUUGACGUUACCCGCAGAAGAAGCACCGGCUAACUCCGUGCCAGCCGCCGCAGUAA